rnacentral:rRNA from 1 species
UACGAGGGGGGCAAAUGUUGUUCGGAAUCACUGGGCGUAAAGGGAGCGUAGGCGGGUUUCUAAGUCAGGUGUUUAAUCCCGGGGCCCAACCCCGGACAGGCACUUGAAACUGGGAAUCUUGAAUAGUGGAGAGGUCAGUGGAAUUGGGGGUGUAGCGGUGGAAUGCGUAGAGAUCCCCAAGAACACCAGUUGCGAAGGCGGCUGACUGGACACAUAUUGACGCUGAGGUGCGAAAGCGUGGGGAGCAAACAGG